rnacentral:miRNA from 1 species
GGAUCAGGCAUACAAUAUCACAUAAAAAAGUGCAUUUAUAUACACUUACACUUUAUGUAUAUAAAUGCACUUUUUUAUGUGAUAUUGUAUGCCUGAUCCUGAU